rnacentral:rRNA from 1 species
AGAGUUUGAUUCUGGCUCAGAACGAACGCUGGCAGCGUGGAUUAGGCAUGCAAGUCGAACGGGAAUUUACAGCUUCAAGUUUUCGGACAAGAAAUUGUAAAGGAUAGUGGCGAAAGGGUGAGGAACACGUGGGCAAUCUGCCUCUUAGUUGGGGAUAACCCCGGGAAACUGGGGCUAAUACCGGAUAUGGUCUUCUGGCGCAUGUCAGGAUGAUUAAAGAUGGGGAUCCUUCGGGACCUGUCGCUUGGAGAGGAGCCCGCGUCCCAUCAGCUUGUUGGUAGGGUAACGGCCUACCAAGGCUUACGGGUAGCUGGUCUGAGAGGAUGGUCAGCCACACUGGGACUGAGACACUGCCCAGACUCCUACGGGAGGCUGCAGUCGAGAAUCAUUCGCAAUGCGCGAAAGCGUGACGAUGCGACGCUGCGUGGAGGAUGACGGCCUUAGGGUUGUAAACUCCUGUCAUUCGGGAAAAACUGUUUAGGCGUUAAUACCGCUUAGACUCGAUGGUACCGAAAGAGGAAGCCACGGCUAACUCUGUGCCAGCAGCCGCGGUAAUACAGAGGUGGCAAGCGUUGUUCGGAUUUACUGGGCGUAAAGGGUGCGUAGGUGGUUUCGUAUGUCGGAUGUGAAAUCCCAUGGCUCAACUGUGGAAUUGCAUUCGAAACUGCGGAGCUUGAGUGUAGGAGGGGAGAGCGGAAUUCUUGGUGUAGCGGUGAAAUGCGUUGAUAUCAAGAAGAACACCGGUGGCGAAGGCGGCUCUCUGGAAUACAACUGACACUGAUGCACGAAAGCUGGGGGAGCAAACAGGAUUAGAUACCCUGGUAGUCCCAGCCGUAAACGGUGUGUACUUGGUGUGGGGGGAAUUGACCCCCUCCGUGCCGGAGCUAACGCGUUAAGUUCACCGCCUGGGGAGUACGGCCGCAAGGCUAAAACUCAAAGAAAUUGACGGGGGCCCGCACAAGCGGAGGAGCAUGUGGCUUAAUUCGAUGCAACGCGAAGAACCUUACCAGGGCUUGACAUAUACCUGCACGCCCCGUGAAAGCGGGGAAGCCUUCGAGGGUGGUAUACAGGUGCUGCAUGGCUGUCGUCAGUUCGUGCCGUGAGGUGUUGGGUUAAGUCCCGCAACGAACGCAACCCUUGUGUUUAGUUGCCACUGCGGAUGAUAAGUCCGCAAGCACUCUAAACAGACUGCCCGUGUAAGCGGGAGGAAGGUGGGGAUGACGUCAAGUCAGUAUGGCCCUUACGCCCUGGGCUGCACACGUGCUACAAUGGCAGGUACAAUGGGAGGCAAAGCCGUGAGGUGGAGCAAAUCCCCAAAACUUGCCUCAGUUCGGAUUGGAGUCUGCAACUCGACUCCAUGAAGUUGGAUUCGCUAGUAACGGCGUAUCAGCUACGACGCCGUGAAUACGUUCCCGGGCCUUGUACACACCGCCCGUCACAUCAUGAAAGUCGUCUGCACCCGAAGUCGUUGCUCUAACCUGCAAAGGAAGAAGGCGCCGAAGGUGUGGGUGGUAAUUGGGAUGAAGUUGUAACAAGGUA